UACGGAGGGUGCAAGCGUUGUCCGGAUUUAUUGGGUUUAAAGGGUGCGUAGGCGGCCCGUUAAGUCCGUGGUGAAAGCCUCCAGCUCAACUGGAGAACUGCCAUGGAUACUGACGGGCUUGAGUACAGACGAGGUUGGCGGAAUUGAUUGUGUAGCGGUGAAAUGCAUAGAUACAAUCAAGAACUCCGAUUGCGUAGGCAGCUAACUAGGCUGUAACUGACGCUGAGGCACGAAAGCGUGGGGAGCGAACAGG
rnacentral:rRNA from 1 species